rnacentral:tRNA from 2 species
GGAGGGGUGUCCGAGUGGUUUAUGGAGAUGGUCUUGAAAACCAUUGACCGAAAGGUCCGGGGGUUCGAAUCCCUCCCCCUCCG